CCUACGGGCGGCAGCAGUGAGGAAUAUUGGUCAAUGGACGCAAGUCUGAACCAGCCAUGCCGCGUGCAGGAAGACGGCUCUAUGAGUUGUAAACUGCUUUUGUACGAGGGUAAACGCAGAUACGCGUAUCUGUCUGAAAGUAUCGUACGAAUAAGGAUCGGCUAACUCCGUGCCAGCAGCCGCGGUAAUACGGAGGAUUCAAGCGUUAUCCGGAUUUAUUGGGUUUAAAGGGUGCGUAGGCGGUCGGAUAAGUUAGAGGUGAAAUCCCGAGGCUCAACUUCGGAAUUGCCUCUGAUACUGUUCGGCUAGAGAGUAGUUGCGGUAGGCGGAAUGUAUGGUGUAGCGGUGAAAUGCUUAGAGAUCAUACAGAACACCGAUUGCGAAGGCAGCUUACCGGCGCUCAACUGACGCUCAUGCACGAAAGUGUGGGUAUCGAACAGGAUUAGAUACCCUAGUAGUC
rnacentral:rRNA from 1 species